UACGUAGGGGGCAAGCGUUGUCCGGAUUUAUUGGGCGUAAAGCGCGCGCAGGCGGUCUUCUACGUCUGGGGUGAAAACCCGGGGCUCAACCCCGGGACUGCCUUGGAUACGGGGAGACUUGAGGAUCGGAGAGGCAAGGGGAAUUCCGACGUGUAGCGGUGAAAUGCGUAGAGAUGUGGAGGAACACCUGUGGCGAAGGCGCCUUGCUGGCCGAUUUCUGACGCUGAGGCGCGAAAGCGUGGGGAGCAAACAGG
rnacentral:rRNA from 1 species